UACGUAGGUGGCAAGCGUUGUCCGGAUUUACUGGGCGUAAAGGGCGCGUAGGCGGCCUUCUAAGUCAGACGUGAAAUCCCCCGGCUUAACCUGGGAACUGCGUCUGAUACUGGAAGGCUUGAGUAUGGGAGAGGGAUGUAGAAUUCCAGGUGUAGCGGUGAAAUGCGUAGAUAUCUGGAGGAAUACCGGUGGCGAAGGCGGCAUCCUGGACCAUUACUGACGCUGAGGCGCGAAAGCUAGGGGAGCAAACGGG
rnacentral:rRNA from 1 species